AGAGUUUGAUCAUGGCUCAGAUUGAACGCUGGCGGCAUGCCUAACACAUGCAAGUCGCACGCGAAAGCGGGGCAACCCGCAAGUAGAGUGGCGGACGGGUGAGUAACGCGUAGGAAUCUACCUCGUAGUGGGGGACAACCCGGCGAAAGCCGGGCUAAUACCGCAUACGAUCCAUGGAUGAAAGCAGGGGACCGCAAGGCCUUGCGCUAUGAGAUGAGCCUGCGUCGGAUUAGCUAGUUGGUGAGGUAACGGCCCACCAAGGCGACGAUCCGUAGCUGGUUUGAGAGAACGACCAGCCACACCGGAACUGAGACACGGUCCGGACUCCUACGGGAGGCAGCAGUGGGGAAUAUUGGACAAUGGGGGCAACCCUGAUCCAGCAAUGCCGCGUGUGUGAAGAAGGCCUUCGGGUUGUAAAGCACUUUCGGUGGGGACAAACAAGGCGGAGCUAACAUCUUCGUCCCUGAUGGUACCCAAAGAAGAAGCACCGGCUAACUCUGUGCCAGCAGCCGCGGUAAUACAGAGGGUGCAAGCGUUAAUCGGAAUUACUGGGCGUAAAGCGUGCGUAGGUGGUUUGUUAAGUCAGGUGUGAAAUCCUCGGGCUCAACCCGGGAACUGCGCUUGAUACUGACAGACUCGAGUGUGGUAGAGGAUAGUGGAAUUCCCGGUAGCGGUGAAAUGCGUAGAUAUCGGGAGGAACAUCAGUGGCGAAGGCGGCUAUCUGGACCAACACUGACACUGAGGUACGAAAGCGUGGGUAGCAAACAGGAUUAGAUACCCUAGUAGUCC
rnacentral:rRNA from 1 species